UCCUAGGGGCUCCAGGUAGGUGUCAGGUAGCACUGGUUCAAUUUCCCAUGUUUCCAUCAGAAGAGCUCUCCAGUAAAUUCUGGUACCAGUAACUUGGAGGUAGGGCAGGCUUCCCAGGGUAAGGGCAUAAGCCUCACUUCAGACACGAGUUGCUAGUUCCAGCUCCCUAGGCCGCCCUCAUUUCUGACCAGCUGGCUACAAUUUGGAGAGUCCCAUAAGUCCCUCACGUUUGAUAGUCCUAGAAAAUGACUCACAAAAUUCAGGAAAGUGCUACACUUCUGAUUAGUGUUAUUAUAGCAAAAGGAUAAGAAUCACAAUCAGCCCAUGGAAGAGGUGCAUACGGUGACCUCUGUGAGGGUUCUAAACAUGAAACCUCGGUCAUCCUUCCCCUGUGCAGACCUGGAUGGUGUUAUUUCCUCCUGACCACGAUGUGUGACAUGCACAGGGAAGCUCACAUGAGCCUUUAGUGUCCAGCGGUUCAGAGUUUUUAGUAGGACUUGAUCAUACAUAUUGCUUAUGGGCUGACCUUUAGCUUUAUAGCUCCUCCUGAAAGUUCUGGAUAAUACCUUUCGUCUUUGGUUCCUCUGGAGGUCGAGAAACUCAAAAGGCUUGUUUCAAAGCCCUCAUCAUAAAUCACAUUGUUAGACAGAUGGUGGCCAAAGCCCUCAGGCAAACAAGGAUACUCCCUAUGAGGCAGAACAUUCCAGAACCUUGAGAUCAUCUCCCAGGGGCUGAGGAUAAAGGCCAGACUUCUCUUUGGGAAAGUUAAUUCUUCAUUAUAGAGGCCCCAAACCACUGGCGAAUAUAACCUCCCUGCAUUCCCGAGGCUGCAGAGCCUGAGAUGUGACCCGGUCCCAAGCUGAGGCCAUCCCUAACUGGGAAGAAGAACAUCAUCAGGUCCAGACUGGAGCAACUGGGUGGGCCUUCCACUGUGANCGUGGACAGUCUCCCCUCUGCUGGGGAUACUGACCGCUCAUAUUCAGAGUCCCUGGAGCUAUUUGGCACUACUGUCCCGGAAGAGAAAGUGGGGUUUCUGGAAGGACAGGCUACCAGCUCAUCUUGUCAAACCCUUGCCUAUUGAUCUGUUUUCUUGUUUCCGCUUUUACACUUUCAGACCCAUCUCCAAAAGGACAGUCGCACAUUCUCCAGGCCAAGGCUUGACGGUGCUGCAGGGUGAAUGAGAACUGAGGGUCACUGAUUCCAUGAGUAUGGGGUUCCCAGCAGGUGCAGAUGCUUGCGCUAAGUGCUGGAGAGAAUAGAAGCAACCAGAGUGCGCCUUCUUCACCUGCUCGCUCCAAGUCUGCUGACCCCUCUGCAGAAAAGCUCAGAAUCCAAAGUACAUGGUCUUUCCACCGCUGGACCUCUGUGUCUUCAAUCAAAAGACUUCAGGUUUGGGGCGCCUGGGUGGCUCAGUCGUUAAGCAUCUGCCUUCAGCUCAGGGCGUGAU